CUGGGAAGAGAGGAGUUCUGCUUUAAGAGCCUGUUUACUUUUGAAGUAAGAGUCACAGUACUGCUCAGAGGUUUACAUCUCCUAAGGAGGCAAAUACUGUCCAGUGAGAAGAACAGUCCUGCUCAGCUAAGCAUCUAAUGAGGAGACAUGAAUCCAAUCUACAGUCACAAGGGGGCCUAAAACUUCAAAGGAGAGUAGAAAGGAGCAAAAAAUCAUGUUGAACUGUUUUCCUGAGUCCAGUGCUCCCUCCUUUGAAAGGAAAAUAAUAUAACCCAACAAAAAGACAGAGAAUAAAAAAUGUGGGUCUGUCUUUUGAUGACCUCUUGUGCUUGCAGCUUUACUUCUGGGAAAUUACCCCUCCCAUAUAUGGUCACAUGAACCACUCCAAAACUGUAAAUUAUUUAAAUGCUUCUUUUCUUCAGUAUUUCUAAGAAUACUGCAACAGGUGGAUUCCCUUUUACUACCUAAGCGAGACUCUUCUUGGACAACUCCGAAAGGACACACAAAAAACACUUGCUUCAAAUGCCUCCUUUGAAUUUCUGCUGCUUAAGGUGAUCUCCCAGCUGGCCUUCAACGCAGGGCAGCCCUGGGGCUUCUUCCCAGACUCACCAAUCCACUGGGUUUCUCCAGAGCUCCAGAGCUGCUCCAAAGACUGAAUUUUAUUCCUGGUCAUUUCUGCACUCUUCUCUACAUCCACAGGGAGAACUCCUGCCAGAGCCUCUUCUCAGUUCCUCUGGCUACUGCCUUACUCCUGUCUGUUUUCUCUUUACCCUUGCAAUAGGCUAACAGGGUAAUAACUACUAUUUCAUGUAGUCUCUCUUUCCUAGUUCUUGAAAGAAGAGGUCUGUCACCCCCUUGCUUUGAAUCCUCACAUCUAAAAAUCUCUUCCAGAUCUUAAUCUUUUCCUUCCCUUUCUGAAGCACUUCCACAACUAAGUUUUAAUCAUGCUAUCACCAAACAUUACCUCAUUUGUCAGACAUAACAGUCCAAGAUCAAGCCUAGAAGACAUCAGAUAGAUGCAAAUUUCCAGUCAGACAGAUCCAAAAUCCCAGCUCACUUUUAAGAAAUGGUAAAGUCUGUGAAAACCAUGAAGUAAGAGAAGCUAUUUAUGAAUAUUCCUCUGCAUUCUCACUUCGUGUCAGAUUUUGCCCAUGUUAUUUCUGUGGCAUAAGCCAGAGAAAGGAUGCAAAGAGUAAAUAAUUCCCUGGAAGAAGAGCAGGUACAAUCCAGAAUCGGUAGCACGAGCGAGUGUUAACAACAGCUUCACCUUGCAUCGAUACGGCAAAUUCCCACGGCAAACAGGAAAAGCCAAAGUGCUCUCAGCACCUGCAGUGAUUGUGGACCAUGCAAAAGGAUGAUAUUAAUGGGACAAGCAGAAGCAAUGUUGAAAAAUGACCUACUUGGACAUUGAAGAAAACGAUUUGAAGAUGACAUAAAACAAGUACUUACACUACUGAUGAAAAUGAGCUGCAUUUUAACUAGGUGUUUGAUUGUAAAUAAUUCUGACAGUGGACAAUGUCCUGAUGAGGAUACUUGCACAUUGGGAGAAGCUUACACACCAAAUUUGUCUAACAAUCUCAGCAUGCAGACAUAGAAAGAAGAGAAUUCAAAGACUGCUGCUCCUUGUUCCUCUAGGGCCAGUGCAGGAAUUGGCUUUUUACAGUUUCCCUAUGCCUUACAGCUUUGAGAUUUAGCUGACACAUUAUGAAAUGAUUUAGUCGUGUCUGCAGACCACUGCAUGUACUUCAAGCAGAGUAGAAAACAAAAUCACAAGUUAACACACUUGUAAACUUGUUUGUAUUUUAUUUAUAUGUAAUAAAACUGUUUAUAUUUUAUAAGCACACUG